rnacentral:rRNA from 1 species
CAAUAGCGUAUAUUAAAGUUGUUGCAGUUAAAAAGCUCGUAGUUGGAUUUGUGGUUCGUCCCGCCGGCUGAGUCAGUGACUUUUGCUGUGCUGGUCGUCCAUCCUUGGGUGGAAUCUGUGUGGCAUUAGGUUGUCGCGCAGGGGAUGCCCAUCGUUUACUGUGAAAAAAUUAGAGUGUUCAAAGCAGGCUUAUGCCGUUGAAUAUAUUAGCAUGGAAUAAUGAUAUAGGACCUUGGUACUAUUUUGUUGGUUUGCGCACUGAGGUAAUGAUUAAUAGGGACAGUUGGGGGUAUUCGUAUUCCAUUGUAAGAGGUGAAAUUCUUGGAUUUUUGGAAGACGAACUACUGCGAAAGCAUUUACCAAGGAUGUUUNCAUUAA